AGCCACAUAAGUCAUCCUAAGGAAUUUGGACUAAUGCUGGAGACAACUAAGAUUCAUUUAUUGAAGAGCUUUGAAAAGGGGGCAUUCAUGAUGAGCUUAAUCUGACUGCAGUGUGAAGAAUGGAUUGUAGUGACUCGGGUAGGAGUUANNNNNNNNNNNNNNNNNNNNNNNNNNNNNNNNNAGAUGAUGAGAUAACAAAGAGGAGAAGAUGAGAUCCUGAACAAAACUGAAGUAUGAAGGUGGCAAGAUAAAGCUGAAUUCUCAGUAGAAGUCAAAACACUGGAGGGCCAGUCCUAUCUCAGCUGGAGAGACUGAAAGGGAUGAGGAAGAGAAGGCUGUGUGAGUGAGGGCAGGUCUGGGUUCUGACCCACCUUUCCCCCUUACUAGGGUUGGAGUUUAUUUUGUCUGAUGAGAAUACAAGAGAACUAAUCAGGAGAUGAUGAAUAGAAGUAAUUUUGGAGUAAAUCACAAAGAACAGAACUUACUAACAAGAAUUGAUGCAUAACCAUUGAGAUAGGAACUGAAAGGAAAGGCUUACUUUCUCACAGAUUAUAGUUGAUGGUUUACAAGUCCUUAAUGUCUUCUUUGAGAAAGUGGAUGAGUUUUGACUCCCAGCUGGCCACAAUUACACUGGCAAGUGGUUCCAGGGGAAAGGAAAGAAAGCAGCAGGUUGCUUUGUGUUGCUCAAACGCCUAUCUGCAUCAUUCCCCAAACAGUAAGGAUUCUUCCAAAGAGCUUUGAAUUCUCUUUCUGAGGUGGCUACUGGAAGGGACUUUCUGCUCCUGUGUUUCCCUGGAGGAAGAUGUUUCAUCAGCCCCUCCCCUCCUUUGGUCAACACCAGCAAGUAAACCCUCCAGUGUGAUGCUCCAUGUCCUGAAAGGGUCUCCUGUGUUUCAACUGCUUAAAUCCGGAUUACUGAACCUGUGUCCUGCUCAGGAAGGAUUAUUUGUGAUGUUUCCUCUCAAAAGUCUUUCCUGCUUGUUUCUUCCUGGGAUGAACUCCUCAACUUUUAGGUCAAAGACCAACUAAGUUUAAGUGCUUCAGUUUAAAAUUAUGCCACUAUAAUAAAUUAAGAUGGUGUAACAAUAAAUAAAUAAAAGGGAAAUUUAACUAAACAAAUUAAUUUAAUUGAAAAGAAAUACAAUUAAAUU
rnacentral:lncRNA from 1 species